UACGUAGGGGGCUAGCGUUGUCCGGAUUUAUUGGGCGUAAAGAGCGUGUAGGCGGCCAGGUAGGUCUGCUGUGAAAACUCGAGGCUCAACCUCGAGACGUCGGCGGAAACCAUCUGGCUAGAGUCCGGAAGAGGAGAGUGGAAUUCCUGGUGUAGCGGUGAAAUGCGCAGAUAUCGGGAAGAACACCCGUGGCGAAGGCGACUACCUGGCCUGUUCUUGACGCUGAGGCGCGAAAGCUAGGGGAGCAAACGGG
rnacentral:rRNA from 1 species